CUGCAGCUGGUCCAUCAGAAGGUCAUUCAUCUGCAGCUGGUCCAUCAGAAGGUCACUUAUCAGCAGCUGGUCCAUCAGAAGGUCAUUCAUCUGCAGCUGGUCCAUCAGAAGGUCAUUCAUCUGCAGCUGGUCCAUCAGAAGGUCAUUCAUCAGCAGCUGGUCCAUCAGAAGGUCAUUCAUCUGCAGCUGGUCCAUCAGAAGGUCAUUCAUCAGCAGCUGGUCCAUCAGAAGGUCAUUCAUCAGCAGCUGGUCCAUCAGAAGGUCAUUCAUCAGCAGCUGGUCCAUCAGAAGGUCAUUCAUCAGCAGCUGGUCCAUCAGAGGUCAUUCAUCAGCAGCUGGUCCAUCAGAAGGUCAUUCAUCAGCAGCUGGUCCAUCAGAAGGUCAUUCAUCUGCAGCUGGUCCAUCAGAAGGUCAUUCAUCAGCAGCUGGUCCAUCAGAAGGUCAUUCAUCAGCAGCUGGUCCAUCAGAAGGUCAUUCAUCAGCAGCUGGUCCAUCAGAAGGUCAUUCAUCAGCAGCUGGUCCAUCAGAAGGUCAUUCAUCUGCAGCUUCUCGAUCCUGCAGUUAUGAGAGUCAGCGAUGAAGCAAAAAUAUAAAACAAUUCAGUUUUCUGAGGUUUCUUCAAAUUAAAGAUCACCGUUAUCCGUUAUUUUUAAGGAAUAUUAUCUAAAUAAUGUUUCAGAACCCAAAAGGGUCCGGUCCAUGAGCUCCAGGGUUCAGUCUACCAGAGAUCAGAACCAGAUCAGUGAUCAGCAGGUCAGAUACUGAAAAGUCUGAUGGUUUUCUCUCAUUAAAUGCAUCAUCUCCCACUCUAUGCAUCAACCAGCAGCAUGUUGAUGCACGACUUGGGAUUUUCUGUUGAUUCUGAACCGGUACCUUCACCUGAGAACCUGCAGCACAGGUUUGCUGUUGGACUUCAGUCACUGAAGUAUCAGGCUGUUCCUCCAGAGGAUGAAGACUUGUAGAGCAACAGUCAGGACUAGACAGCAGCGCUGCAGAGAAGGUAGCUGAGGGACGGUAAGGAGGAUGGAUUGCAGCUAACGCUGAAGAAUAGAUUAGAUCAUAAGCCUGCUUGGAUGGAACAUCUGGUAGGUUCUGUUCUGCAUGUUGGUAACGAUAACAGAAGAUCAUCAUGUUGGUUUGAAGCUAGCUGUCACUGGAAUCAUGCUUCCUUAAAUACCAAGCAGGCACCACGAUGUUGAUGCUCUGCUACCACGCUCCACCAUGACCCAGACUCAAAGUUCUUCAUGACCUGAACCUGCUCCAGCUAGCAGACCCACAAGGCCUUCCAGCAGGUCUUUUUCUGGUGGGUUCUCCACCUGCUGUGAAGGUUCCUGGUGAACAGCAGCAGGUAGAUUGUUUUUCCUUCUCUAACUGAUGCUUGUUUUCAUCCGUACUGCAGUCCACCCUGCGGACCGGUCCAGUGUUCUGAUGGGGAUGUGUUUUGGACUAGUUGGCUCACUGAAGUGGAGUAAACGGUUAGAGACCCAUGUUCAGCAGAGCCGUUUUCUGAGGCUUCUUGUGUCUCGGUGCUUCAGGCAGGUUGACAUCUGACCAAAGUGAUGAAACAAAUAUCUCAAAUAAUUUCUAUUUUUCCGCCAAAAAGCCUAGAAUCAAACAGAACCUUCUUGUGAACUCUCCUGCUCAGUACUUUCCUCAGCGAGCUGCAGACCCUCUGGAUCUCUCACUGCGGCGCUGGAACCCACCAGAGACACCAGAGCAGAUGAAGUUCUGAGGGAAUCUAGAAAUGUGAGGAGACCAACAGUGCUGCUGAGGUUGGUGGAGGUUUCGUUCUCCAGACUGUCUGCUGGUUCUUCUCCGCUCAGUUUCUUCCAGGGUUCCUUCACAUAUUUAGAACUCUGACCCGAACUACCGGACCUGUUUAACUGGUGCAUUGGUCAGGCUUUAUUAUCUGCAUGAUCCAACCCGACACCAGCUUCUCAUGGUCUGAGGCCCGGUUUUCCACUGGGGAAAAAAGGUGGAAGGUCCCUCCGGGUCGGGGAUGAGUCCCACCCAGAAGCAGAGGGGUUCAAUGAUGAUGGGUUGAUGCAUCAUGGCUUUGUCUGCGUGGCUUCAGAGCUGAGAGGUGAAGGUCGCCGUCUGGGUUCAGAACCUCACCUAUGACCAGGACGUAGAUCCUGUCCAAAACAACUAGAUCUAGAAUACAAGAACCUGAACCGAGCUUUCUGUGUUGGGUGGCUUGCAGAAAAGGUCCUGGAAUGAGGAACCUUUGGGUUUCAUGAUGAACAGACAGGAUUAGGUCCAUGUAACAACAUGUAGAUCAGAUGUUUCCACAGAACAGGAACAUCUUCAUGUACCUUUAAAUAAGGAACAUUUUUCUGUACCUUCACUCACCUGGAAAAUGUUAAAGGAAAUUCAAUACUUUCCAAAACCUCCCAGGAGCACGUAGGAACCCUGGGAUUCUUCUAAGAGGGCUGAGAACUUUUUUUUACUAACAUUUGAAGGAGGUGGUUCUGUUUCUGCUUUGAGGGAACCUACAGGAACCUUGGUCUCCUACACUAAAGCUUCUCUGUUAUCAGGUUGAUGGAGGAAAUCUGUACCGACCCGCUUCCUGUUGGUUCCGGAUGAGUGACGGGAGGUUCUGGGGUUCUGUGGCGGAGGUUCCUCUUUAACGAAGACACUAAUUCAGCCAGACCGGACGCAAGCAGCACCAGAACCUCCAACAUGCUGCUUUAAAGUAUUAAAGUUGGUUCCUGUUACUGUCGUCAAACUUGUAAAUUAUUUUAAAUUUUAAAUUAAAUUAUUCAUUUUAAACUAAAACUUGAUGAAUGAAUAAGAUUUUCUAUAGGAUUGGAAACUAACCGGUCCAGAACCAGAACAGUUGAGUCCAGUUUGGAUCUCUGCUUACAGGAUGUUCUAACUCCACACAUCUUCUCAGGACGGCUUCAAACUACAGUGAGAAGAUUCCAGAAACAUGUUUUAUUAUUUAAAGGCUGUUUUAUAUUUUAUUGAACUUUUAUUCAGCUUCAGUGUUCGUUUUUUUUUCCCAUAAUGCCUUACGGUCGCUGUAAAUAAACUGUAAAAAUGUUCUUUUUCACACGACGGCCGCCAGUUUAACGUGUAAAUAAAUAUUAAUUAAUCAGA